rnacentral:rRNA from 1 species
GGCCUUGACAUACUAAGAACUUUCCAGAGAUGGAUUGGUGCCUUCGGGAACUUAGAUACAGGUGCUGCAUGGCUGUCGUCAGCUCGUGUCGUGAGAUGUUGGGUUAAGUCCGCAACGAGCGCAACCCUUUUCCUUAUUUGCCAGCGGGUCAUGCCGGGAACUUUAAGGAUACUGCCAGUGACAAACUGGAGGAAGGCGGGGACGACGUCAAGUCAUCAUGGCCCUUACGGCCAGGGCUACACACGUGCUACAAUGGUCGGUACAAAGGGUUGCUACCUCGCGAGAGGAUGUUAAUCUCAAAAAGCCGAUCGUAGUCCGGAUCGCAGUCUGCAACUCGACUGCGUGAAGUCGGAAUCGCUAGUAAUCGCGGAUCAGAAUGCCGCGGUGAAUACGUUCCCGGGCCUUGUACACACCGCCCGUCACACCAUGGGAGUUUGUUGCACCAGAAGUAGGUAGUCUAACCGCAAGGAGGACGCUUACCACGGUGUGGCCGAUGACUGGGGUGAAGUCGUAACAAGGUAAGCGUAGAUGA